rnacentral:ncRNA from 1 species
AAGCGAGGACGACCUCCCCCGUUACGGGUCUGAUUCUGUCGGGACGACCCGA